rnacentral:lncRNA from 1 species
AAAAUUGAAAUCAUGACACCACUUAUCCCCGAAGCCACAUCGCCUGAGCAUAUACAAAAAGAAUCCCCAGUUCACAUUAUCAUCUGCAUUCUGAAUAUCAAGCUACCCUUAUACAUAAUCUUGAGUCAAUUCAUUUCCUGUAAGUACGGAAUCAAUAUUUGUCACCCUUUGACAAACGAAUUUUGAAAUUUAGACACAACUUUCCCCAACACUAUAAUUUUGUACACCCCACUUAUUAAGCUGAU